AUGUCACAACACCAGACAGGGCAGGGCAGUGACUUCACGGCUCCAGUCCCUGCUUCUGAGCACACAAUUCUCUGCAGCCAAGAGGAAUCAAAUGAGAGCAGAGUGCCGAAUUCUCAACAAGCUAGCAGCUGUGUAGCCUUCCGAAAGAAAGAUGCUGCAGUGAUACCAUCAGAGAUCUCUCUAAAGGAAGCGGUGCCAGAGAUAAACCUGAGUCAUGGUUUUCCAUAGAGAAAAAAAACCCUAGACAACUUGGGAUCCGGCAAUCUGGAAACCGAGCAGAGACCGCUCCCGCGGCGAAGGACCACAGGGGCAAUAGAAUAG
rnacentral:lncRNA from 1 species